rnacentral:rRNA from 1 species
UACGUAGGGGGCAAGCGUUACCCGGAUUUACUGGGUGUAAAGGGAGCGUGGACGGCUGUGCAAGCCAGAUGUGAAAGCCCGGGGCUCAACCCCCGGGACUGCAUUUGGAACUGCGUGGCUUGAGUGUCGGAGAGGCAGGCGGAAUUCCUAGUGUAGCGGUGAAAUGCGUAGAUAUUAGGAGGAACACCAGUGGCGAAGGCGGCCUGCUGGACGAUGACUGACGUUGAGGCUCGAAAGCGUGGGGAGCAAACAGG